rnacentral:lncRNA from 1 species
GUUCAUACUAUAACAUGUAGAAUCAUUAUUAUGGAUCCAGGUUCAUACUAUAACAUGUAGAAUCAUUAUGAUGGAUCCAGGUUCAUACUAUAACAUGUAGAAUCAUUAUGAUGGAUCCAGGUUCAUACUAUAACAUGUAGAAUCAUUAUGAUGGAUCCAGGUUCAUACUAUAACAUGUAGAAUCAUUAUGAUGGAUCCAGGUUCAUACUAUAACAUGUAGAAUCAUUAUGAUGGAUCCAGGUUCAUACUAUAACAUGGAGAAUCAUUAUGAUGGAUCCAGGUUCAUACUAUAACAUGUAGAAUCAUUAUGAUGGAUCCAGGUUCAUACUAUAACAUGUAGAAUCAUUAUGAUGGAUCCAGUUUCAUACUAUAACAUGUAGAAUCAUUAUGAUGGAUCCAGGUUCAUACUAUAACAUGUAGAAUCAUUAUGAUGGAUCCAGGUUCAUACUAUAACAUGUAGAAUCAUUAUGAU